CUGCAGCAGCCUUAACGGAAUCAAGGGGUUAGCGCCGACACGCUCCUGUGUAGCUUCCGCCGGCUUCAACACCGCCAACGAGGUCACGCCGCUCUUUGUUGCUGGCGGAAAAGGAGGACGUGGAAGAGAAACGUGCGUCAGUCCAUAUACAUAUCAACGAUGGUUGCUGAAACCAUACGCUGUGUCCAUGAUACAUACCACAACACUUUCAUCAUUAUUACAGUGGUUGCUGUUAAGCUGUUCAUCAAAGGAAUUACUCUCUUGCUCGUGGAAAGUGGGCUAUUGGCUCAUGCGACAAGAACUGAUAAACUAGAUAAAUCUUCUGAAGUUCCAAACAACAUCUCCGGUCAUCAUUUUGGCCGCCUCUGGAGAUUAUGGAAUCAUAGAGCCUUGUUUUAUGGAGAUCCCAUCACCAAGUUGUCAGUGCGUGGGAACCAUGGGGACUGGUGACAAAUAAGCCGAUUUUGUGUUAUUUGAACAGGUACGACACAUAAUAGUUCCGAGACUUGGGAUGUCAGUAAUCAUGAGAUUCAUAUCUACCCGAAGAAACUGAAUACAAGCGUCGCGCAGCCACAUCUACAACCACCUCCAUCAUCCUCCUAAGUUUCAGGUAACUAAAGGAAAUGGAUGACCGCACCGGAGAGAUGCGACCUGUGUCACCUUGUACUUUGGCAAUGAUCUUUGUCAAAGUUCUUCUCUUUGCAAUGAGUCGUACGAUGUAAAAGACCAUUUCACGGAUGGCACAUUUUACUGGUGAUCCUCUGUCCUCUGCCGACGAUGAACAAAAGCGCCAAAGUAGCUGGUCUUUAUGCUUUGUUAUUUCAGUUAUCUGCUUAUCUGAGCAGAAGGGCAGCAACACGACGUGGCAUGGAUUCGACUAACGUCUAGUGCCGCAGGGAACUUACACCGUGAAUCCUGCAGGGCUGUCCAUUAAUCCGUAAGAGUACGAAGGGGUGGGUACCUCUUCUGGACAGCACGUUGAAAGAAAAGGCCACAGUUAAUAGAUUUCCACGGUUGAAGCUCUCGGUUCGUAAUCUCAAGAUCUUUCAUGUGUUCGGCUCCAGUAGACACUGAAAAUACCUGUAAAGAACAGAAAGAAAAAGAUUGCUUCCACAGUAGAUUUCUAGGGGCUGGGGAACAACGCUGGAGCAUCUGAUUUUCUGUCUUCUUCUCUUUCUUCUUCUCCUUCUUCUUUUCCUUUAGCGUUUCCCAUUUCUCCAUGGUGACGACAUUCUUAUACGGGUUGAAGCAGUAUUAGUGACAGAGGCCGCAUGCCCUUCGUGACGCGCACUGGAGCAUCUGAUAAUGGUGAAAAAUUAUAGGUACAUGCGUCAUUGGUUUAUAUCAGCAAUAGUGCCAAUGAUUUAGGUGAACAUUUCACUGACGUUGUCUAAUUUUGUCAUUGUACUGAGACUCGAAAUGCAAUGAACGGUAAGAAGAUAAGAAUCACGAUAGAAUACCCCAAAAACACAGUCUACUGCUCACUCUCUAUAAAAUAAUGGAACCAAGUAAGAGACUAAAAGUACUUGAAACUCAGUGGAACAUAAUCUGCUGAUUAGGAAGAAGUAUUCCCAACGUUCCCAUUCAGUGACUAAAUCUUAUUUGUCACUACAAUCAAUAGAAGCUAACUACAGCAGUAAAACCGACAUCUUACCUUUCAGAAGGCACGCUUGCUUUAGCAGACACCACAUUCUACUUAUCUGUUUCAUUGAAUAGUCAUUACCUAUAUUUGCAAUCAAUUAAUUAUAUAUAUUAAGACUUGCUUCUUCUUUCACUGGAGCGCUUAGCACCAGUUACAGUGUACGUUUUAUUGACAGAAAGUGCAGAACACGAGAAUAUCUAUGACACUCGAGAAUCAUCUGCAAAUCGAUGUUCUUCUCACCGCACUCUGUACAAAGACUUUGUGCAGUUAAGUGCAAAACUAUAGGAGCUAAUGUCUGCUGGGACACAGCUCUGAGUGUCAAUGAUUUUGUCUGCAACUGAAUCGUUUUUUUUAUGUGCGUCAUGUAGCUCUUCGGGUAGAUAUGGAUCUCAUGCGUGUUGUCAUUACAAAUCUCGAAACUAUUAUGUAUCGUACCUGUUCAGUUAACAUAAAAUCGGUGACCGUAAAAGUUAACAGGCAGCACGCAGCCUUCCGGGCGUAUGUGAAGCGUCUCGGACGGGGCGUAAUUUUGUGAUGGAAGGAUUAUUAUCUAGAAGACCGUCAGACGUCCUCUGAGAGACUUACAGAAGGCAGCAGUCGUUUUACUAUCGACGUUGAGGUGACUAGAUACCGAGAACAAGCUCCAUUGGACAAAGAGGGGACAGAGAAAGGGUGGUAGUAUUUUUAAGGAAUCAAUAUGACACCCGUUUAUAGUAAUUAUGAGGAAAAUGUCGACUCGCAAAAUGAGGAUUACUAUACGGGAAUCAGUGUUCAGAGAAUAGAUUUCUAAUAACAUAUAGUUACGAGAAAAUUUCCUCCAGGGAGGAAAUAUCUCUAACUUUCUUGCUUUAGCAACGCUGAGAAAAAGUCAGUGAUUUGCUCCAUUUAGCAUUUAUAAUUACAAUACUCUAAGUGUUAUUACAUUUCUAACAUUUACCUUUAGUGUCAACGACUUCUGUACGUCUAUAUGUUCGAAAAAUAAAGUUGUGUACUAGUAUUGUCUGUAAA